rnacentral:rRNA from 1 species
UACGUAGGUGGCAAGCGGUGUCCGGAAUUAUUGGGCGUAAAGCGCGCGCAGGCGGCCUUUUAAGUCUGAUGUGAAAGCCCACGGCUCAACCGUGGAAGGUCAUUGGAAACUGAAAGGCUUGAGUACAGAAGAGGAAAGCGGAAUUCCACGUGUAGCGGUGAAAUGCGUAGAGAUGUGGAGGAACACCAGUGGCGAAGGCGGCUUUCUGGUCUGUAACUGACGCUGAGGCGCUAAAGCGUGGGGAGCAAACAGG